rnacentral:tRNA from 1 species
GGGGAUGUAACUCAGUGGUAGAGUAUGUGCCUAGCAUGCCCUGGCCCUGCAUUCGAUCCCCAGCACCACCA